AUUGAACGCUGGCGGCAUGCCUUACACAUGCAAGUCGAACGGCAGCACGGGUGCUUGCACCUGGUGGCGAGUGGCGAACGGGUGAGUAAUACAUCGGAACGUACCUUAUUGUGGGGGAUAACGCAGCGAAAGCUGUGCUAAUACCGCUUACGCCCUGGGGGGGAAAGCGGGGGAUCGAAAGACCUCGCGCGACUAGAGCGGCCGAUGCCUGAUUAGCUUGUUGGUGGGGUAAAAGCCCACCAAGGCGACGAUCAGUAGCUGGUCUGAGAGGACGAUCAGCCACACUGGGACUGAGACACGGCCCAGACUCCUACGGGAGGCAGCAGUGGGGAAUUUUGGACAAUGGGGGCAACCCUGAUCCAGCAAUGCCGCGUGAGUGAAGAAGGCCUUCGGGUUGUAAAGCUCUUUUGUCAGGGAAGAAACACCGGCUCUAACACAGUCCGGGAAUGACGGUACCUGAAGAAUAAGCACCGGCUAACUACGUGCCAGCAGCCGCCGUAA
rnacentral:rRNA from 1 species